GGGGGGCAACUCCCCUGAGUACAGCGGCGCACGGGUGAGUAACACGUAGGUAACCUACCCUCGAGCCCGGGAUAACCUACCGAAAGGUGGGCUAAUACCAGAUAUGACCACGGGAGUUUCGGCUCCUGCGGUGAAAGGUGGCCUCUACUUGUAAGCUACCACUCAAGGAUGGGCCUGCGUGCCAUUAGCUAGUUGGUGGGGUAACGGCCCACCAAGGCGAUGAUGGCUAGCUGGUCUGAGAGGAUGGCCAGCCACACUGGGACUGAAACACGGCCCAGACUCCUACGGGAGGCAGCAGUGGGGGAUAUUGCGCAAUGGGCGAAAGCCUGACGCAGCGACGCCGCGUGGGUGAUGAAGGCCUUCGGGUCGUAAAGCCCUGUCGAGGGGGACGAACCGGUUGCGACCUAACACGUCGCGAUCCUGACGGUACCCCUAAAGGAAGCACCGGCUAACUCCGUGCCAGCAGCCGCGGUAA
rnacentral:rRNA from 1 species